rnacentral:tRNA from 1 species
CGAAAAUCCGUUGGCUUUUUAGACCGUGAGGGUUCAAGUCCCUCUACCCCCA